UACAGAGGUCUCAAGCGUUGUUCGGAUUCAUUGGGCGUAAAGGGUGCGUAGGUGGCGCUGUAAGUCGGGUGUGAAAUUUCGGAGCUUAACUCCGAAACUGCAUUCGAUACUGCGGUGCUUGAGGACUGGAGAGGAGACUGGAAUUCAUGGUGUAGCAGUGAAAUGCGUAGAGAUCCGGAGGAACACCGAAGGCGAAGGCAGUGUCCUGGCGAGUGACUGACGCUGAGGUGCGAAAGCCAGGGGAGCGAACGGG
rnacentral:rRNA from 1 species